rnacentral:rRNA from 1 species
UGGAGGAAAGUAGGGGAUCGAAAGACCUUAUGCUUUUGGAGCGGCCGAUGCCUGAUUAGCUAGUUGGUAAGGUAAAGGCUUACCAAGGCUCCGAUCAGUAGUUGGUCUGAGAGGACGACCAGCCACACUGGGACUGAGACACGGCCCAGACUCCUACGGGAGGCAGCAGUGGGGAAUUUUGGACAAUGGGGGAAACCCUGAUCCAGCCAUGCCGCGUGAGUGAAGAAGGCCUUCGGGUUGUAAAGCUCUUUCAGUUGAGAAGAAAAGAUUACGACUAAUAAUCGUGAUUCAUGACGGUAUCAACAGAAGAAGCACCGGCUAACUACGUGCCAGCAGCCGCGGUAAUACGUAGGGUGCGAGCGUUAAUCGGAAUUACUGGGCGUAAAGGGUGCGCAGGCGGUCUUGUAAGUCAGAUGUGAAAUCCCCGGGCUUAACCUGGGAACUGCGUUGAAACUACAAGGCUAG